rnacentral:tRNA from 1 species
ACCUGGCUGGCUCAGCUGGGGGAACAUGUGACUCUUGAUCUCAGGGUCAUGGGUUUGAGCCCCAUGUUGGGUG